ensembl:lncRNA
GUGAUUUUCUACAUUGUAAUCUCUUAUCACAAACGCCAAAUACCUGUAUUUUGCGUCUUUUACGGUUGCUCAAAUCGAUCAGACCGAGAAACCACAAGGUACUUUAACCGUAUACCCAAAGUAGUUGUUCAUAAAGGUAAAAAAAAAAAAAAAAGCAAGAAAUUGACAGAAAAACGCCAGUUAAAAAUGGCUUGCAAAACUGCGUCUGCGGUCGGGAGGAGCCGGGUCGGAUAAUGCUCGUGUGUGCAGUGACCACUUUGUCAAAGGGCUCUGCAGGGAGACACCCUGGGUCUGAGCUGUCAGUCAGGCACUGUCUCUGCACUGCUCUCAGCACUGGGGCUCCAGGUUGUGAACAGGUCUUGGAACGUCCCAGUUUCCCCCGCUGUCCUCGAGAUGUCCAUGAGGAAGGAUUUACACAAGUGGGGCUUGGUCUGCUACAUGCUUCCUCUGUCCUUCCUGUGGCAGGGGAUUGACCGUGGCAAUUGUUUCCAAAGCUGAAAUUAUUUAGAAAAUCUUUUAUUAAUCUAAA